CGACAGGCGGGCGGGGCUCGGGGCGCCGGGGGGGGCAGCGCGGAGCCGCCGCCAUUUUGUGAGCAGCGAGCGGCGAAGGGGGCGCAGGCCGGCGCCAUGGUGAAGCUGUUCAUCGGGAACCUGCCGCGGGAGGCGACGGAGCAGGAGAUCCGCGCGCUGUUCGAGCAGUACGGCAAGGUGCUGGAGUGCGACAUCGUCAAGAACUACGGCUUCGUGCACAUCGAGGACCGCACGGCGGCCGAGGACGCCAUCCGCAACCUGCACCACCACAAGCUGCACGGCGUCUGCAUCAACGUGGAGGCCAGCAAGAACAAGAGCAAGGCCUCCACCAAGCUGCACGUGGGCAACAUCAGCCCCACCUGCACCAACCUGGAGCUGCGGGCCAAGUUCGAGGAGUACGGCCCCGUCAUCGAGUGCGACAUCGUCAAGGACUACGCCUUCGUGCACAUGGAGCGGGCGGAGGACGCGGUGGAGGCCAUCCGCGGGCUGGACAACGCCGAGUUCCAAGGCAAGCGGAUGCGCGUGCAGUUGUCCACGAGUCGGCUCAGGACCGCGCCCGGGAUGGGAGACAAGAGCGGCUGCUACCGGUGCGGGAAGGAAGGGCACUGGUCUAAAGAGUGUCCGGUAGAUCGCCCGGGGCAAGUGGCUGACUUUACCGAGGCCUAUAACGAGCAGUACGGAGCCGUGCGCACUCCCUACACCGCGGGCUAUGGGGAGACCAUGUAUUACGAUGACGCGUACAGCGGGAUGGCCGACUACUACAAGCGCUACCGCGUCAGGUCCUAUGCGACGGCCUCUGCAUACGAUGCCUAUGCAGAGCAGACCAUGGCCCAGUACUCCCAGUACGCCCAGUACUCCCAGGUCCAGUCCACGGCCAUGGCCGCCACCACAGCCAUGGCCAGUCGCAUCCCCACCACCCUAGACCCCUACGAUAGAGCUCUGCUGCCCACCCCGGGCGCGGCCGCCGCGGUCGCUGCCGCCGCCACCGCCGCGGCGGCGGCGGCCUCCUCCACCUAUUACACCCGGGAUAGAAGCCCCCUGCGCCGCACGGCAGCCGCGGCCACCACCGUCGGAGAGGCGUACACUUACGAUCGUAGUCAGCUGUCGCCGGUCUCGUCGGUCGCUCGGGCCUCCCUCUACGACAUGCAGCGCUUCGGGCGCGACCCGUACGCGGACAGGGCGCGGUACUCUGCCUUUUGAGCCGAGGAGGGCGCUGGCGCCGCCGCUGCCGCCGCGCAGGGCUCGGCACAGCCCCGGCUCUGAGGCGGGCGCUGAACUGUGCUUCUCUCUUUCAGCAGCGGGCCGGGGCCGCUUUUCUUUCCUCAGGCUGUGUUUCCUCCCCGGCAGCCACCCCGAGCCAGCGCUGACUCCGUGAUCUCGGUGUGCACGGGGGGUCCCAGCCCUCCGACAGGCCCGACGCAAGUGGCGAGGGGGCCACCAGCGCCCUGCCGCCGCCCCAACGUUCCCCAAACAAGAAGACAAGGGACAGCAAACGCUUUUACAAGCUUUAAUGAUGGUUCCAGCAGCAAGGAAGAGCCCGGCGUGGCCCAAGCGAGCCACUCAGCCACACGGAGGGAUCAGCGACGCUCGCCCCGGGCUGAGCGAGCCGAUUACAUUCGAGAGCUACUCCGAUAAAACCGAAGUGUCGCCGGAAGGAGCCGAUCAAAUUUCACUUAGUGAACGCUGAGAGAAAAACAAAACGUUGGCCGGAGAGAAAACCUGCAAGCGCCGCGGUUAAACAUGAGCAGGGCGAGUGGGGACACCCUGAAUGACCAAAACACCGCCCGAGGGGACCAUCCCCCACGGGAGGCCACCACGCUGAUGUGGCAUCCUGUCCCCGGAGGCGUCCCUACUCCCUCUGCUUGCAGAAAUUUAUAAUUUCUUUCAGAAACCUGCUGCCACCCCCCCCCCCAAAACAGAGCAGCUCUGGGCAGAGACGCGUGCAACAACCGCGCGUGGCCGACGCUGCGGCCCCAAACCCGCUGGUUUGCCUCUAGCAGGGACAGGGAGCGCGGUGGGAUGCGGCCUGACCCCGCCGCAAGAUGUCCCCGAACGGCCGGGCUGGGAAAAGAAAUACAGAGGACAAGGGUUUCUAAACGGAAAA